GAUGAACGCUGGCGUCGUGCCUAAUACAUGCAAGUCGAGCGAACAGACGAGGAGCUUGCUCCUCUGACGUUAGCGGCGGACGGGUGAGUAACACGUGGAUAACCUACCUAUAAGACUGGGAUAACUUCGGGAAACCGGAGCUAAUACCGGAUAAUAUAUUGAACCGCAUGGUUCAAUAGUUCAAGACGGUUUUGCUGUCACUUAUAGAUGGAUCCGCGCCGCAUUAGCUAGUUGGUAAGGUAACGGCUUACCAAGGCAACGAUGCGUAGCCGACCUGAGAGGGUGAUCGGCCACACUGGAACUGAGACACGGUCCAGACUCCUACGGGAGGCAGCAGUGGGGAAUCUUCCGCAAUGGGCGAAAGCCUGACGGAGCAACGCCGCGUGAGUGAUGAAGGUCUUCGGAUCGUAAAACUCUGUUAUUAGGGAAGAACAAAAGUGUAAGUAACUAUGCACGUCUUGACGGUACCUAAUCAGAAAGCCACGGCUAACUUCGUG
rnacentral:rRNA from 1 species